UAACAGGUCUGUGAUGCCCUUAGAUGUCCGGGGCCGCACGCGCGCUACAAUGGCGGUGUCAACGAGUCAGACCUUCUGGCCUGAAAAGGUUGGGUAAACUGGUCAAUCACCGUCAUGACAGGGAUCGGGGCUUGGAAUUAUUCCCCGUGAACGAGGAAUUCCUAGUAAGUGCAAGUCAUAAGCUUGCGCUGAUUACGUCCCUGCCCUUUGUACACACCGCCCGUCGCUACUACCGAUUGAAUGGUUUAGUAAGGUCCUUGGAUUGGCGCCAUUUUGGUGGCCCCGAAAGGUGGCUACCUGACCGGUGCUGAGAAGACGACCAAACUUGAUCAUUUAGAGGAAGUAAAAGUCGUAACAAGGUUUCCGUAGGUGAACCUGCGGAAGGAUCAUUACACGUUCCAAUUAC
rnacentral:rRNA from 1 species